rnacentral:rRNA from 1 species
CUCAUUAAAUCAGUUAUAGUUUAUUUGAUGGUCUCUUUGUCUUUUUUACCUACUUGGAUAACCGUGGUAAUUCUAGAGCUAAUACAUGCGCAAGGUCCCGAGCGCGGAGAGUGGGGCUUCACGGCUCUAUUCUUGCAUGCGCAGAGGGAUGUAUUUAUUAGGUUAAAAACCAGCUAGCCGGCAACGGCUUCAACUCCUGGUGAUUCAUAGUAACUCUUUCGGAUCGCAUUCAUG